GAUGAAGAACGUAGCGAAAUGCGAUAAGUAAUGUGAAUUGCAGAAUUCAGUGAAUCAUCGAAUCUUUGAACGCACAUUGCGCCCCCCAGUAUUCUGGCGGGCAUGCCUGUUCGAGCGUCAUUUCAACCAUCAAGCCCUGCUUGUGUUGGGGCCCUGCGGCUGCCCGCAGGCCCUGAAAACCAGUGGCGGGCUCGCUAGUCACACCGAGCGCAGUAGCACAUCUCGCUCAGGGCGUGCGGCGGGCUCCAGCCGUUAAAGCACCCACCUUUCGCAAGGUUGACCUCGGAUCAGGUAGGAAUACCCGCUGAACUUAAGCAUAUCAAUAAGCGGAGGA
rnacentral:misc_RNA from 1 species